AUUUGUUUAAAAAGAGUCUUCUGUUGAUUCCUAUUCACCUGGAAGUCCACUGGUCUCUCAUUACUGUGACACUCUCUAAUCGAAUUAUUUCAUUUUAUGAUUCCCAAGGCAUUCAUUUUAAGUUUUGUGUAGAGUGUAUUCCACAACAGAAAAACGACAGUGACUGUGGAGUCUUUGUGCUCCAGUACUGCAAGUGCCUCGCCUUAGAGCAGCCUUUCCAGUUUUCACAAGAAGACAUGCCCCGAGUGCGGAAGAGGAUUUACAAGGAGCUAUGUGAGUGCCGGCUCAUGGACUGAAACUCAGCAGGGACUCUGGGAAGUCUGACCAAGUUGGAGCAGAUGGUUUGUUACUUGAAUCUCCAAACACUUAGUUGAAUUUUUACAGAUAUUUCAGAUCAGUGGUGUUGGGCCACUAUUGUUACCUCAAAUUUAUUUUUUGCCCUUAUUCAUUUCUCCAGCUACCAUGUACUAUUGUUUAAUGUUCA
rnacentral:lncRNA from 10 species